rnacentral:lncRNA from 1 species
AGGUGAUGAAUCUGUGCUAGAUUGUUGUGGGUCAGUUUGUCGUUCGCAGUGUCUUCUUCAAAAUAUGCCUUUUUUUUAUGAAGUUGUGGGUGCAGUUAACUGAUCUGUAGUUCUGUACUAUGAGUAUCCGAUCUGUGAUUUAAAUCACGCAUGUAGCUGAUAUGUACUAUGAGUGUCAUUCUGUAUGCUUAUGAGUAUCACUCCAUAAACUAUACACUUCUUGCCCCUCUUAGGUGAGACAGCAAAAUAGAUCUAUACUACUAUGAGCAAUUGAGCAUCAUCCUAUAUACAUCCAUAUCUCACCAAAAGAAAUUUAUACCAUGACCAUCGUUCUACAUACAUAGAGCAUCUCUACCAGUCCCCUAAACCGCAUAUUUUCAUAAAACAUAUCAUAUAUAUUUAAGAGAGUCAUUCCCACUAACUUAUUUAUCUCAACAUGCAAGUAUAUCACAUCUCCGUACAACUAUGGAUGGGAUAAGACCCACCUCAACAUGUAACCGAGCAUUGAAAAAGAAUCACCACCACAUGCAACCAUGCAUGAGAAAAUAUUUUUCAAUCUAUUAUUCUACUUAUAUUCAAUAAUAUUUUACAACUAUGUACAUAAUCAAAUAUAAUAAGCCGAAUGUAUUUUAAAUUUUGGUUCAUGUGUUAUUAAUCUAAAUAUUUAUAUUUCACACAACAAAAUCUCAUUGAAAUAUAUUACAAGUGAUUCUCGAAGCAAUGCGUGGGGUUAGUUUGAGCGAUCACUCAAACCGUAUUUCACAAAAUUAUAAGGAAACCUUCCCUAAAACGCAGUCGUUCCACCUACUUUGAGUCCAACCACAAAAAGUCGCAGCCUCGCCCGGGAAGAGCGCCUAAACUCGCCCGGGAAGAGCGCCAAAACAUCAUGGAUGUCGUCCAGGGUGAGCUCCAUCUUGCGGUGCGUGGCUUGAGGCUCAGGUGCAUGUCUUGCCGAUCUCAUGUGUGGCCACCGACUCGAGGUCCAUGACGCCGUUGAGGUCGUGGAGGACGGCCCAUCACUCAGAGGAUGGCUCGAGGUCGCUUGUGCAAACUGAAAUUUGGCCGACCAAGAUGCCCUAUCUUGUGGGCGUGUUCUAACGGUUUUCAGCCGGAUUUCCGCGAAUAACGGGGCAACUCUCUUCUAUGGUUUUCAGCCGGAUUUCCGCAUUUUUUUUAUGUUGCUACUGACUGUUGAGAGGUAAAUGUUGCACAGAAUUUUGCUGCUACUAGUGAAUGUUGUGUUGAAUUUAACAUAGUUGUAAUUUUCAAAUCAGCUUAUGUAAAAACACAGCCUGCACACGUCAUCGAGGCGUCAGUGCAUCACCAACUUGGCCUUCCUCACUGACGCAACCAGGAGGCCGCCAAUCUGUGCCGGUGAGCCCAUGGAUUCGCCUCCCUCUGCUAGUUGCUUCGACGACCGAUGACGGGGAAGGGAAUCAUGGUGUUUUGGCUCUGGCUAGUUGAUAGGUUAGAGUUUUAGUCCUUACAAAGGCGAUGCCCAGAUGGAUGGCUGCACUUCAUCUUUGAGUUGAUCUUUCUGGUUUCGAGCCUUAUUGGGUUCGACCGUCAAGGCGGAUUAGACGAUGCUCCGACUUAGGUUCCUACCGACUCCAGAGAGCGGCGAGGUUAUGAUUUCUGGUCAUGCACACGCGACGACGAGAUUGAGUAAAUAGCAUAAAACUACUACUUUACAGACCCAAACGAGGGGUCGGCUGUUUCAAAAACUACCGGUUUUUAAUUUUUCUCAGAUAACUACCAAACGAGGGGUCGGCUGUUUUAAAAAACCCAAAACGCUGAGUGCUUAUCAGUUGAUCGUGAUUAUGACAGGUGGGACCCGCACCUAAACGAAGCUCUAGUUUGACCGUUAACUGACAUGUGGGGCCCACAUGUCAGCUUCUCUUUUCUUCUUCUCUUUCCUUCUCUCCUCUUCCUCCCGUACUCUCUCUCUGUCUUAUCUUCAACCAGACCGGCGACCAUAUCCCCUUCCCUCGCAUGCCCACUCCGCCGGCGACCCUUUCCCCUCCCCUGUCACGCCCACCCCGCCGGCGACCCGCUCACUCCCCUCGUGCGCCCACCUCGUGCGACCCGCUCCCUCCCCUCAGGUCGCCACACCGCCGCGCGCCAUGGGGAGCUGCCUGGGGCGCGCCAGCCAUGGGUCUCCGCUCAGGUCCCGUGCUGCCGCCCGCCAUGGGGAGCACCUGGGGGUUGCCGCAGGCGAGGCAGAGCAUGGCGGCGACCACAGGCGAGGGGCGGCGUGGCGGCGGCCACAGGCGAGGGGCGGCGUGGCGGCGGCUACAGGCAAGGGGCGGCGUGGAUCCGGUCACUACGGGCGUGGCUCGCCGGCUGCAGGCGAUGCACGGCGUCGGCCCGGAGGAGGUGGCAUCGAGGCCAUGGCGGGUGCGCCAGAGGACCUGAUUGCUUUUUUUUGAAAACUUUCAGGGACCUGAUUGCUUUUUUAGAAAAUUUCCAUGGACCCGAUUGCUUUUUCAGACACUGGCAUGUGGCCCCCACAUGUAAGUUAACGGUCAAACAAACGGUGCGUUUAGUGGCGGGCCCGACCUGUCAUAAACAUGUUUAAUUUUUUAACAAAGAGGAUUUGGGGUUUUUUGAAACAGCCAACCCCUGACUUGGUAGUUAUCAGCGAAAAAAAUAAAUUCAGUAGUUUUUUGGAACCAUAGCCUGUAAAGUAGUAGUUUUAUGCUAUUUACUCGACGAGAUUUAAUGUUAGGUUCUACAAGUUGAUUCAAGAGUUCAAUGACGCCGACUGCAGCUCCAGAACACUAGUCUUUAGGCGCACGUGCACGAAGACUUCUCCACUGUCUUCCACGUCACCGCGAAGACGUGAAGCCGCAUAUGACGAACCGUGGGCUUCAAGAUGGCGUCUUCAAGAAGGGGACGACACCGGAGCGCCGCCACUCUCGAGCUGUUGAACAGAUGCAAUGUUUUCCUUAUGUGUUUUUCUUUUUCCUUUUGCGCCGAAUCUAGCACCGACUCCUACCGUAUCGUGCGCAAUAGCCUGAAGAAAGAAAGGGCCACGUGGACUUCCCUCUUGGCAUUCUGACGUCGCAGCAGAUUGCAUACUUAUCAAUUUCCUUAUUAAAUACAUCUAUCCAUCUGCUAGGAGUCUUUGACUUCCAAAGUCAUAAAUACUGCAUAUCUGUGCAGUAACAUGAUCCAAAAACUUUCAAAAUUUUCAAAAACAAAUGAAAAAAUCAUGAAACUUGUAAACCAUGUUAUUUUAUAAAAUUGUUGAUUUUUUAAAAAAAUGAUCAACAAAUAUUAAAAAAAAUCACAUUUUUUUUUGAAAAAUGGUCACAAAACAUUUUUUAAAAAGUUCACGUUUUAUACUAUCUCCAUUCCAAAAUAUAUGAAUUUAGCCUACCAAAAUGUCAUUCUAAAGCUAGUAUAUUUUGGGACCGGGGAAUAUAUUUUAGAACGGAGGUAGUACUCCUUGAUUACCAAAAGAUGCCCCACAGUUUGGUAAUUUACUACUCUCGAGCUGUUGAACAGUGCAAUCUUUUUGUUAUGUGUGUUUUUCUUUUUGCGCCGAAUCUAGCACGGACUCCUACCGUAUCGUGCGCAAUAGCCUGAAGAAAGAAAGGGUCACGUGGACUUCCCUCUUCUUGCAUUCUGACGUCGCAGCAGAUUGCAUACUUAUCAAUUUUCUUAUUAAAUACACCUAUCCAUCUGGUACGUUUACAAGCUUCUAUCUACUAGUACAAGUCUUUGACUUCCAAAGCCAGCCUAUAAAUACUGCAUAUCCUCUCUGACAUAAAAGUUCUUGCUCCAUAGCAAACCAAGUGGAGAAAGGAAAGGAAGCAUACUCGAAACUUCGCCCAACACCACCCACCGAUCAUGAGUGCAAGAAAUGCUAUCAUAUGCUUUGUGUUGAUUCUUGUAUUGUUCCCGGAUCAUGGCUCCGCAGGUUUGUGCUCCUCGCUCCGUCUCAGUGACAACCGACUACAGGUUCUUCAUCAUGGAUAUUCAUAUUCAUACAUGCGUGUUAAUUCAUUUCAGGAUGCUGGGUGAAUAUCAAUGGCGGCCCACUCUGCAUAGGCUUUCUGUGCAAGGCGACUUGCUUGAUUGCGGAGAAGAUGUUUAAUUGCGUUCUCAAGGAGCACAGGUGCGAGGGGACACCGCUCAAUAGCGAAUGCAUGUGCUAUCUCUGCGACAAAUAGUCGGUUAACAUGGGAGCUGAAGAUAGCCUCAUGAUUACAAAGUGUCAAACAAUGGGAAUGAAUAAUUUCUAAUAGAAACCAGUAUCCUCAAAUCCGAUGCAGUUUCCUGCAUUCUCAAAUGCCGUGUCAUCAAUAUUCAUGCAUACUCCAAGAUUUCGCUGCAAAACAACAACAGGCAUGUGGAUGGCAUGCCAAUCAUGUGCUAUGUACUUUCAUGGACGAAAAAGCUGCUUUCUUCCUGACCGCACUUGAGCUAGUUUCACGGAGAUCAUAUUUUUCCCUGUCAAGAGUUAUAGGUAGUCGACAACAGAAUUAACAGGAAGUUUGAUGACUGUCCUCUAUCAGAACUUGUCCAGGAAUAGGAUGGGCAUGACUGGUAAGAAAAAUUACGGUACAUGAGGAGGACGGACACCUAGCCGCAGUGUGCGAUUAUCUUUGUUAGAGCAUCUUCAAUAGAUGAUGUAGAUGUAUAAAUACCUACUUUUUACAUCACUUGGAGCAUCCCCAACGGACGCGCCAAAAGACGCGCGCGGCAAGUUUUCACGCGCUCCAGCGGAGGCGGGAAACUACCGCACGCGGGAAGCGAUUGCGCGCGCGCGGAAAAUAGCGGCAGAACGCGCGGUAGAUUUGACGCGCCGCUUCGCGCGCGCCUAUAAAAUGCGGCGCUCGCAACGCGCUCCACCACACUGCCACGCGCCCAUCCCCUCGCCACCUCGCCGCUUCCACCUCUUUCUCGCCGCUUCCAGCGCCCCGCCACCACCGUGCCACCAUGCCGCCGCGCCGCUGGGGAUCUUCAGGCUACCGCGGCGUCCGCACGCGCCCCAACGGCCGGUACUCCGCCGAGAUCCGGUCCGGCGACGUCCGGCUCGGCCUCGGCAUGUUUCGGACCGCGCACGAGGCGGCCCGCGCGUACGACGCGGCGGCGUGGCGCCUAGAGAGGCCUCCGUCCCAGAUGAACUUCCGGGACGUCCACACGCGCGAACAGGCGCAGGCCGUCGCCCCUCCGCCUCGUCUGAUCACGGACCAGGACCGUGCGGACCACAUUCGCCUGCAGCGCCGCCUCCUCGUCGCCGAGGAAGACGAGCGAGCCAUGGCGGAGUGGCGCCGGCGCCACCCGGAGGACGUCGCCAACGAGCGCGCCUACUGGGCGGAGAGGACGGCAAGGCGCCGCACGGAGCGGGCGGACCGGCGUCGGCGGAAGGCUUUGGCGAUAUCGCAGUGCGAUAUCGUUGAAGCAGGUGGGAGGUCGAUCUUCAUGUCAGACGACGAACGUUGGGAGGAUAUAUGGAUCGAUACCUCGGACAGCACCUCCGAGGAUGAGGACUCGGAGUAGUUCUGCAUCGUACUUUUAUCUAGUUGCACCGUAGUUUAAUUUUAUGUAGUUGCACCGUAGUUCGGUUUUAUCUAUCUAUGCUAUGACUUAUUUAUCUAUUAUGCUAUGAACUAUGUAAAAUAUCUUUGUACCAUUUUUUUUAUCUAUGUGAAAUUUAUUUUGUGUCCAAAAUGCAACAAAUAUGGACAUGUGCGGGGCCCAACAAAUAUGGGCUGCUCGCGCGCGCUGCAUUUUAGCGCGCUGCUGAAGCUGCGCGCGCGCUGUAUUUUAGCGCGGUUGCUGGAGCCAGCGCUGUGCACCGCGCCAAACCUGACGAUGGGCACGCCACAAACUACUUUUUAGCGCACCGCGCGUUCCGCAGCUGUUGGAGAUGCUUUUAGAUCUAAUAACACCCCUCCAACAGAUGAUGUAGUUGUAGAUUUUUUUUCUCAGAAUUUACUAUAGAUGUAUUUUGCAUCACUUGGUGAUGCAAAUAUACACCACCAACCGCGCGGUGAUGUAAAAUGGCCACCCACUGCGCGAACUGCCUUUGGACCCUCACCCCCCAACGCCGCCUGCCCACCGUACCCCGCCGCCGGCAGAUCCGGCCUUCCCACCACCGCCGCCGCCGGAUCCGUAGCUUUCCCGCCGCCGCACGUCUCGAAAUCGCCAUAUUUGAAGCCACCGCCACCCGAUUCAGAACUUCUCCGAUGCCGUCGUUGCCCCGCCGCCACCCGAUUUGCAGCUUCUCCGCCCUGCCACCGCCGAUUCGAAGCUUCUCCGCCCCGUCGCCUCCCGAUUCGAAGCUUCUCCGCCCCGCCGCUACCGAUUCAAAUCCGCACCCGCGCCGCCGCCAUGCCGCCGAAGAGGGUCUCGAAGAGCAGGACCGGCUACUUCGGGGUGCGGGAGAAGCCGUCUGGGAACUUCGGUGCCGAGUUCCUGCGUGACGGCUAUCGCUACUGGCUCGACACCUUCAAGUACCUAGAGGUGGCUGCACGUGCGUACGACGUCGCCGCUUGGUGUUUCGGCCGGUCAAGGCACGAGAUGAACUUCCCGGAUAUCGAAACCUGGGAGGAUGUGGAGUUCAUCGGAUCGAAGAAUCUUAAGAUACGACAGACGGACGGGGAGGAGGAGGAGGAGGAGGAGUAGAAGACGGCAAGGAUCACCAUUGUUCCCGGCGAAAGUGACAAAGCAGCGCUGUCGAGGUUUGUGCGGGAGCAUCCGGAGUACUUCCAGGCCAAGCAGGAUUUCCAUUGGAAGCGAGCAGAAGAAGAAUAAGGCGGUGAAGAAGGAGGACAAGGCCGGCCCCUCGACAGUGAUCCCCAUCGAGUCUGACUCGUCAGGCUGGGAUGACUCUGAGGAGGAGUUCGAGACGCUCGAUGACUCCGACGACUCCAUCAAAGAGGAGUUCUGGGAGCGGCUAGAAAACGAUAUUACUAGUUUUAUGUUUUAUGUAGUUCAAGUAGACUCGGAGGAGUAGUAGUUUGGUGUGAUGUAGUAGUUUGAACUAUGUUUUUUGUUUGUUUUAUGAACUAUGUUUGCUUCAAAUGAACUUGAUAUGUUUGAAUUUAUGUUUGAAAUGAUGUAGUAGUUCAACUUGUUUUACAUCAUCUAUGGUACAAUAUGAGGUCGUUUAUCAUAUCGAUGGUACGCCAUCCAGACCCCCAUCACCAAGUUUUGUGACGCGGUUGGUCGGCUGGAGGCAAGGUGGCCAUUGCGCGCGACAGAGGAGGAGAUAGUAAGUUUUGCUUCUUCUUGCUCAACUUGUUGGUCGAAUCAUUCACUAAAUGUUGCUCUACACAUUAGGUAGCCCGCACGCGCUAUUGUGAUGUACCAUAGCACAGAGGGACGGCCAUUUACGCACACACACUGUUGGAUGAAGCUGAAGGAGCAGUAUGUGCGAGACAAUAUGAUCCGUUUAUGAAAAACUUGUUGAACAUCCGGUUAAUCUCUUGAAUUUGAAUUAUUAUUUUACUAGACUUAUUUGCAUGCUAUGUAUGAUUUGUGCUAUUUUCUAUCCGAACUUUGAUGAAAUCCGCCGUGUUUACAUGAAUUUUGGCCGGUUAAUUGAAACAUUGUUUAAAAUGUAAGUGGACAUAUGCAACUAGCAUUGGAUGGCCGGCUCCCGCAUCCGUGUCCGCGGAUGGAUGCCGGAGCAGAUUUGCGGGUCAGCAUUCGAGAUGCACUUAUACUUUUUUUAGCCUAAGAUUUCCCUUUUUUUUUAAUUUUUGAGCGUAAGAUGCCCUUAUACUUCUUCUUCACAGAUGGAAAGUGGGCCUUGAGAGGGUUUCGGACAUUUGGGCCUGUUCCACUUUUCUUUGUCUCAAAAAAAGAAAAAAAUUCCCCCCUUUUCUUUGCCUAAAAAAAAAAGAAAUCCCCCUUUUCUUCCGCCGCUCCACUCCACAGAAAUCGUCCCCACCGCGGCGCUUCCGGCGACGGCCAUGGACACCCGGGUGCCGCCCGUUCCCAUGGAUCCCGCGGCCGCGGCGAAGUCCCGGCGCGACCGCCAUGACCCGGAAGAGAUGGAGGGCCUCUUCUCCCGCAUGCUCUCCCGGACCCGCAACGUCCUCCCAGACCCGCCCGUCUCCGUCGACGGCCGCCUCUUCGCUCUCCUCCCCCACGACUCCGUCGACAGCAUCAGCCGCCUCCCCGACGUGCUCCUCGGCAACAUCGUCUCCCGCCUCCCAGUCAAGGAGGCCGCGCGCACCGCCGUGCUCUCCCGGCGCUGGCGCGGGGUCUGGCGCUCCACCCCGCUCGUCCUCGUCGACUCUCACAUCCUCCCGGAAGACGCAGGCACCGCGGUCGCGCGCGCCGACGCGCGGCGCAUCACCUCCGCCGUCUCCCGCAUCCUCGCCGCGCACCCGGGUCCCUUCCGCUGCGUCCACCUCACCAGCUGCUACAUGGAAGAGUUCAAUGGCCUGCUCAGGCGCUGGCUCCAGAUCCUCGCCGACAAGGGCAUCGAGGAACUCAUCCUCGUCAACCGCCCAAUGCCGCUCGGCUGCCUUCUCCACUCCACGUUCUUUCUCCCCUCCACGUUCUUAGGCAUGACCACCCUCACCUGCCUCUACCUCGGCCUCUGGAAAUUCCCCGACACGGCCAGCGUCAAGCGCGCCACCUUUUUCCCUAACCUCCGUGAGCUCGGGCUCUGCACCGUCCUCAUGGAGAGCAAGGAUUUGGACUUCAUCCUCGACAGGAGCCCCGUGCUUGAGACGCUCUGUGUGGAAAGCAAUAUUUUCAAGCUUGGCCUUCGCCUUGUCAGCCAAAGCAUCCGGUGCGUGAAGAUCAUCCUGUCCUUCUUUGAGGAAAUCGCUGUGGUGGACACCCCAUGCCUGGAGCGACUCAUCCUUUCAGGUGGUUGGACCAAAGACGGGGUCUGCACCAAGGUGAAGAUCGGCCAUGCCCCCAAGUUGCACUCUUUGGGAUAUUUGGAUUCAGAAAAUCAUGUCCUAGAGUUCGGCAACACUGUCAUCAAGGUGCCUCGUCUUCUCCAUUUGUUCUGCUGUACAUCAUACCUAAAUGAUGAAUGCAUAUGUGUGAUCUUUCUUCUCUUGAUUAAGUGCAUUGUGAUUGCAAUUGCAGGCUGGGACAAAGGUGAGCCCAAGCACCAUGGUGCCAAGUGUGAGGAUCCUGGCUUUGGAUGUGCGUUGUGGAGUCCGCAGUUAUGCCAAGAUGAUCCCGACUGUCCUCAGAUGCUUUCCAAAUGUUGAGACGCUCCACAUCAUGGUGAAGCCCCUGGUGCUUCUUUUGGCAUUCAUUUGCACCAUCCUGUACUAUAUGCAUAUUAUUGUCAAUUGCUGCUGCUGCUGUAUGAUCCAUUAGCAGCUGAUGAAUUUCAUGUGCACUAAUUUAAUUAAUUUUACAGUCUGGAGAAACUGGUCAACCCUCUGGCAAGCACAACCUUGAGUUCUGGAAUGAGUCUGGUACCAUAAAAUGCAUCUGCUCGUGCAUCAAGCUGCUGGUUUUCCAUGAUUUCCGAGGGGAUCGAAGUGAGCUUGCUUUCCUCAAGUUUUUCUUUAAGAGUGUGUUGGUGCUGGAGGAGGCGUUGAUAGUGAUGGCAAAUGGAAGUUUCACUUCGAUGGAGGAUAUGCUUUCCAAAGUGAAGCCUCUGGGAUCCAUGAAACGGGCCAGUUCAGACUCCACAAUCACGAUUAAUCCCCAAGGAGGUAGCAUUUGGAACUUCAAGAAAGCAUCCGACUUUUCUCUUUGCGACCCUUUCGCGAACGACUGAAGUCAAAGGUGCCUGUUUAUUUCAUGGUCACUAGCUCUGGAAAUUGUUGUGUUCUGGGUCAUAGCAUGGACAUGCACUGUUUUCAGCUUUUCGAUGAUCCGCCUGACUCUUGUUUCUGCAAACAUGAUUAGCUUAAGUGUUGAAGUUAGUGCUACCGUCUUCAAUGAUGCAAAUGACUUAUCAUUCUGUGGUAAUUGCAGAGCACCUAUUCUACUCAUGUUAAUUGUGAUUUCAUUAGCUAGGUUUGAGCUCCUGAGUAUGGCGUUACAUUGCACAAUUGCUGCCAUACGUAUGAGGCUUGAUGCGGGGGAGAAUUAGUGAUAUCCGAGCUAAUUCAUCUUUUGCUUACUGUCUUGACAAUUUACUCUAGGCAGAAGAUUUUGAUGCUCUCAGAGUGUGCCAUUUUUGGUUCUGAUUGAUUUGCAUAGAUGUGCCAAGUCAAUUAUUAUUGCAGCUCCCGGUUUUCAACGCAAUUUUUUUUAAUUAUUGCAGCUAUUUAUGCCUAUCUGGUUCUUCAGUUGUGUUAUUUGAAUCUUUAUUUGCAAGCUAAUUUGGUUACUUUUGCAACGUGUUAAGGUAAUAAUGGUAACUUGAACAACGUGGGCAUGGCUAAGGCCAGGUGGCCAAACUAUGUUCAGAGCUAGUUUGGUAGUAGAGUUUCUUUUCUUCUGCAGUGAGAUCCUUAUGAAGAAUAACUUUCAGAGGAUAGUAUGGGGUGGUAAACAGAAGUGAGCAACUCGUGGUUCAUUUUAUCUAAUCAUUCUGUCAUUUCAGUAAAUUGGUGCAAAACUUAACAAUUUUCUCUGUAGCACUUUAUGCUCACGCAUUAUCUGAAAAUGUUAGAAUCCAAUUGUUUUUGCUGCCAUAGUCCCUUAUGGUAUAUGAUAUCCUGGUUGUUUUACAAGCCACCAGAGUCAUUUUCUGCUAGUUAGUGCAAAACAGACAAUAUAAAUUGGUAAUGCAAAUGUUUUUCUUUUUGCUCAGAACUAUUGCUUAGGACACAAUAUUAUGUUAGAGUGUCUGACAGAUUAAUAAGUGUUGAUAUGUUUCCCACAUUAGAUGUUGAUUCAACUACUAGAGGGAAAGUAGCAACUGUCCUCUCUGUCCAGGGGUCACUGUACUAGUUGUGUUUUAAACAUCAGUAUUUGUAUGCUCUACUAAGCUAUGUGAUUCUCUUGCGUAUUCAGUACCUAAGAGUUCUAUAUUCAGUAUAUUUUUUAUUUUUUCAGUAUUUUGCCAUCUUUUUAUGGUAUUUUGUAAUGCAGAAAUUCAUUUAUCUUUUUUCAUGAUGAUUUCUUUCUCGCGUCUGAUGUUUUUGCCUAGAAGAUGUUUACUCAAGUUUUGUGUCGACCAGUUAUGGAUGGAUCGCAAACAUCAUGAACCUUGAAUCCUUGAUACUCGCCCAUGCGUACCUUCUAAAACCUAGCAAGAUGUUGCUUUGUAUAAGAUGCUUGAUUUCUACCUUUCCCGUGUCAUUAUCCUUGGUCUUUCUUUCUCUGUUGUCCAGUCUUAAUUGCCAUAUCAUUCAUCAUUUCCUUGUUAUCAUUUAUAGUUCAGUUUGCCCAGCAUCAUCCUUCACUGGGAACUACAAAAGCAACAUCCAACUUCAACCUGGCGGCCUCUUGUCCUUCACCAUUUCUCAGUUAUCAUCUACUCAACAACAUUGUCAUUCAUCAACAAGAACAACAAAGGCUUUUAGUCCCAAACAAGUUGGGGUAGGCUAAAGUUGAAACCCAUAAAGAUAUCGAAACCUAGUCAUGGUUUUGGCACAUGGAUCUCAAAUGCCUUGUCAUUCAUCAUCGGUCCUUUUCUUUUCUCUCUUUUUUGCUUAGUAUAAUUUCUUCAGAAGAUAGUUCCUUACUCUCCCUAGUGUUUCCUCCAUCUUUACGUUUUUUAAGGUCCAAGCAAGCGACUAUGUGUUCGUCUCUUUCUAAGUUAUCUGUACAUUGGCAUUAGGCAAUAGUCUCAGUUUCUCUAUCCCACUCACUUUUCUUUCUCAACAUCCGUGGCUACAUAUAUUUCUUCUGUCAUUUCUUAGCCUUGUUUUUCUCCAUCUCUGUUUAUUGUCUUAUUUAUCUGUACCUUCAAGUGAAAUGAUAACAACUAGACCGCAAGUGCUAACCAAAUAAUUAUUUCAUAUUCAUAUAUUUAUACCAUAGUCAACCAACUAAGUAUAUAACAAUUGGAUUAAAUUUCUUUCUCUGUAUGACAAUACUUCUUUGAACAAUAGUUCUUCAGUCCCUUGGUUAUCUGUCUUAAAUUCUUAAUUAAGCUGGAAGGCUGACUUGAUUAUAAGUUAUCUAGUUAUUUAAAUAGUAUUUUUGAGAGCUAUAGCGAGCAGUUUGUUUUCUAGGACCAUGUCAAGCAGUUCUCAGUCAUAUAAAUAGUAUUUUCAGAGCUACAUUUGAGCAGUUAGGUUUUUAGGACCAUACCAAGCAGAAUUUCUUAUUUCUUUCUUCAGUGUCUGUUAUCUUUAGUUUCCCCUCCCCAGUUUUAAAUAUGUCCCUUUCUUCAAUCUAUAUUCAGUUUCUCAGUUUCUUUCUUCAGAGUUUUCCGUCUCUCUACAUCUUUCACUUCACUAUAGUCUUCAUUUUCUGUCUUCAUUCCCGCUCGUGCAGUUAUUUUGUAGCAUCUUAGGAUUCAUUCUUCAUUCGUCAGUCGUUCUUCUUCAGUUUUUCCCCUUUUGUUCUGUGUUACUUCAUUGUCUGUUGCAUCAUCUAGCUGAGAUGGUAGUGGAGAUAAUUUCUGUUGGCAAACCACUUAGGCGAACUCUCUGUUGCGAUUCUGCAAAUGCUGGCGAUGCGGAAGUGAAAAAGGUUAUGACUUUGAACCCAUGGAACUGUCCAUUCGACAUUGGAAACGCGCAACGUUCUGCAUGUUGUUGAGACCAAACUGCAGUUUUUAUGAAGUUUUUGGUGUUUUUUCUGCCUUAGUUUUCUAACCUUCACCCCUUGUUUGGUCGAUGGUUAAGUGCCGACUCUGCAUUUUUCUUGAAUGGAUGUUGUCUAGUUUACUGCAGGGCGCAUUUGCUGUUUAUGCAGAAUACAUUUAGAAAUAGUUUUCAUUUUUAACAAGGAUUCACUUAAUUGACCAUGGCGGUGGGGGCGUAGCGGGGUGAGCCAAUCCGGCGACGGCGCGUGGGUGGCCGUGCCAGGCUAGAGCCGGCGAAGGCGUGAUGGCUACGGUCGCGUCCGGCGACGAGGAGCGCAGGUGCGCUCGCCGGCGGCGUGAGGACGACGCAGGUGAGCCGAUUCAGCAACGGGGCGUCGCGGCUGAUUGUGGGGAUGGAGGCUGGGGCGGCUCGGCGGGCCUUGGGUCGGUCUGCAGCAGGCCCCUUGGUGCGGUCAAAGCAAUUGCAAGAGGGGCCAAAUUGCAAAUCUCAAAUAUGGCGGUUGUUUCUGCGGCAUCUGAUGAAAACCAGAUCCGACGACUACGUACGAAGGCGGUUGACGCGCGGAGAAAAAUCAGCUGGCUGACUCACGCAUUUAAAAAAAAGAAAAAAGAAAAUAAGGAACGUAAAUAAUAAUCCCGUAAUCUCCUCGCAAUCAUACCGAAUACAUCGCUCCAGACCGUUACGAUUUCGGAUCGUUCUCCUCGCCAUUACAGAUCACCUCGAGUACGUACUACACAUUAUAUUGCAGCCUCCCUCCUCCAUGGCUCCAAGCCAGCAGACCUGCCUAGAAGCCUGCAUCCAUCUGCAAAGCAUGAGGGGCCGCGACCUCACCGGCUCGCUGCCGGACGAGGUCCUGCAGCACGUGCUCUCCUUCCUGCCGUCGCGCGAAGCCGUCCAGACUUCCGUGCUCUCCCGGCGCUGGCGCCACCUCUGGAAAUCCACCCCUUCCGUCCGCGUCAGCGGCCGGGGAGACGGCUUUCGCCUCUUCGUCAACAGCCUGCUGCGCCACCGGAACGACGCCUCGCCGCUGCGCACCUUCGAGAUCGACGACCUCGUGAAAGCCCCCCAGCCGUCCACCAACUUCUUCUUCGACGACGACGUCGUCCCGGAAACCGAUCCCCACCCCGACGUCGACCUGUGGAUCAGGCACGCCUUGUCCACGUGCCGUGCCACCUCGCUCACGGCACUCUUCGACGAAGAGGGCUUGCUGCCAUGGCGUCCCCGUCCCCCUUUCUCCUUCACGUCCAGCCACCUCACGACCAUGCACCUCGAGUUCGUCGAGCUCGCCGACGGCCUCCUCGACUUCUCCCCCUGCCCGGCGCUCCUGCGGCUCAGCCUCAGCGGAUGCCGCCUCGACGGCGACGCCAUCGUCUCGCCCUCGCUGGAGCGCCUCAGCAUAAUCCGCUGCGACAUUCCGAUCGGCCGGAACACGGCCGGUCGGACCGCCACGAUGAGGAUCUCCACGCCGAACCUCCGUCAUCUGGAGAUAUCCGAUAGCUGUGACGGGGAACAGACACCUCCCUCCCUCGACAGCAUGCCUUUGUUGACGACGGCGAGCAUCCGGUUCACGGGCAGCACCCGGAUUUACCCCACCAAUGGUGACGCUUCCUUGCUUCUGCAUGGCUUGUCAGAGGCCACGACCUUGGAGCUUACGGCUUCGACUCCUGAUGGAAAGGUUUGUCAAAUGCGACCUGAUGUUAAGAUUUGAAUUUUUUUUUCAGUUCGCAUGAUCAGGCACAAAUGCACAAUAGUAUUGCACUUUGCACCAGUCCCCACAAAAAGAUGUUCGAAAAAGAAAUCUAAAAAUUAUGAUAGGUUGCAUUUGAAACAGUUGUUUAAUUAGGAGUGUACUUGGUAUAUAUGCUCAACCAAGCAUAGAGCUUAAUGAUGAUUUACUAUAAAUAAGUGGUGCUAAUAUUUCAGAUAAUUUAUUAUUUGUACGUGAUAUUGUUUUUUCUUUCUCUUGCACAUUCCUGAAACUCCUUUCCAUAGAACAGACACAUUCCGGUCUCUAGUUGAGGUUUUUCUACAUGCUAGUCACAAGUUUUUAUUAGCCUUACAUGUGCACUCUAUCCAGGCAAUCCUACAAGGUGACUUGAGAUGGUGCCCUACAUUCACCGAGUUAAAGACUUUGAUACUGAACGAGUGGUGUCUAUAUGACGAUGUAACUGCGCUCGCAUGCCUUCUGCGGCACACACCAGCACUAGAGAGUUUGCAACUUGAUUUCAAGGUACGUACUAACUAUAUAUGUUGAUGUGUUUGAGAUUUUUCUACUUUGCCGUUGCAUAUAAGGUCCAUAUAAGGUUUUAACCUUUAUCUUUUCUUCUCCAGAGCAGCGAUACACUCCAGGAGAAAAUAAAAGGAAGUUGUAUCAUAUUAAAAGAGUUAUUUCCUACGCUUGAAAACCUGAAGGCAGUGAAGAUCAGAAGGCACUGCUCAUAUUCUGACACAAAGAACCACGAAAUUUUGAAGUUGUUCCGUGAUUUGGGCAUACCUCGGUGUAAAGUUAAGUAUGCUCUGAACUUUGAAGGUAAGCUCUAUAUAUACCAAGUUUCUUUGCGUGGUUUUCCAUAAUAAGAUCUAAACGCUCUUAUAUUUCUUUAGGGAGGAGCACAUAAAAGCAAGUGCAUUGAACAAAAUUUAAAAUAUAACUAGCUAUAUAUACAUAUGAAGAGAGUUUGUACAUUUACCAACCGUUUGUAUACAUCAAUAUGUUGUACUGUCCUGUUAAUUAUGUAUUGCAAACUGCUUAAUCACUUAUCUGUUGUGUAUCCUUCUGAUUAUUUGUUCUCUACAACAAUCCAUUUACAGCAGUGGAUGCCGCUAUGGAGGGGAAAAACGCAAGAGGGGGUCAAGAAGACGGUAGGAUGCAUCUCGGCUCAGAUUGCAUAACUGAAGCAGGAAUCGACGCUUCGCGAGGAUCCAAGCGGUGUAGGAUAGAACGUAGUCUGCUAUGAGGUUCUAUCCCUUUGAACCAAAGACUGAACGCGCCUUUGGAAACCACCAUACCCCUAUGCACCGAACUACUGGAAAAAUUCAUGUUUGCCUAGUGUCAGCGUCUUUGCCAAGUGCAUUUCGUCAGGGUGUUUGCCGAGUGUCAUCCAAAAAAUACUCGGCAAAAAAGCAAAACUCGGUAAACAGGUGCUUUGCCAAGUGUCGUGGACAAAACACUUGGCAAAACAGUGGAAUUUUUUCAAAAAGGUGCUUUCUUAAGCGCUACACUCAGCAAAAGGGCAUUUUUCUAGAGUGCUACACUCGGCAAAAAUGGGGUAUUUACCGAGCUGCACUGUUUUGGCUGUCGAGAUUGUGUAUGACAUCGGAUGAAGAUGAUCCAAAAAUCAAAGUUUUUCAUUUUGACGAGACAAACAAAUUUCAUGUUGAGAACUUUUUCAUUUAAGGCCAUAUUAAUUACACUUUUUUGCCAUGCCAAAAUAUGGUCUCAAAUGACUAAGGCGGUGGUAAUAUUUAUUGCAUAGUAUGACAGUGUUUCUAAACUUGGCACUUAUGUGCAUCUGUCAGUUACAAACAAUGUUGCCAAAUCUAUUUUCCAAAUUUUUUGUACAAAAAAUAGUGUUAUAUUUUGUAAUUGUAAAAAUUGGAUAUUUUUGUGAAUCUGGUAAAAAAAAACAGGGUGCAAAAUGGCAGCACUCCAAUUUUCACAAAAAGUAGACCAUAUUUUUGGAAAAUUCCCAACUAUUUUGGGUUUUCUAGAUUUAUAGCUACUUUCGCACAUUUAAAUGACUUUAUGUCGAUUUCUUGAAAGUAAUUCAAAUUUGAACUGCAAGUGUGUGAUAGCUCUGUCCUAAAAAUUAGCAAAAAGUAUUUUUUGAUACACAAGUAGUCAUUAUAUGGAAGAGCACUUCGAGUUUUGAGAGAUUCAACCCCUUGCCAUGAAUAGCCAUGUCGACCAUUUUGACCCUAUUCUGGAAAAAAUGAAAGGAAAGAAUACAAGUUCAAAAUAUGCAAUCCUUUCACAUGGAGUCCUUUUAUGUGUACUAGUUGCAAGGAAAAAUACCAAACUUUCAAUAUGACGAUUUUGAAAAAAGAUCCUUCACAAAAGGGCCAUCAUGUAUGAACAUUCAUGACUUUCAAGUCAAAUGACCAAGGUGAUGGUCAUAUUCAUUGCAUAGUUUGUUAUAAUGUGCCCAAAUUAGACACAUAGGUGCAUCUUGCCGCUAAAAACAAUGUUGCCAAAUAGAGUUUCCAACUUUUUUGUAAAAAAAAACACUAUUCAUUUUCUAAGUGUCCAAAAGGGUAUUUCUUGUGAAGCAAGCACAAAAAAUAGGGUGCAAAAUGGAACCAUUCCUAUUUUCAUAGUAAGUAGACCUUAUUUUAUGCACAAUUCCCAAGUUUCAUGGAUUUUCUAGAUUUCUAGCUACUUUCCCACAUUUAAAUGACUUGAUGGCGAUUUCUCAAAAGUAAUUCAAAUUUGAAUUCGAAGUGUCUGAUAGCUCUGUCCUAAAAAUUAGCAAAAAAAAGGUACACCAAUAGUCAUUAUAUGGAAGAACCACCUAAAAUAUUUAAAGAUUCAACCUCUUGCUGUGAAUAGCCAUGCCAGCCAUUUUGACCCCGUUUUGGAAAAAGAAAAGAAAAAGAAUGCAAGUUAAAAAAACAAUUCUUUCGCAUGGAGUCCUUUUAUCUCUACUAGUACCAAACUUUCAAUAUGAGAAAUUUGAAAAAAUGCCUUCAUAAAACUGGCCAUCGUUGAUGAACAUUCAUGGCUUUCAAGCCAAAUGACCAAGACGAUGACCAUAUUCAUUGCUUAGUUUAUGAUAAUGUGCCGAAAUUUGGUGAAUAUGUGCAUUUGUUAGAGAAAUUAUCCGCCUGCCCAGCCGUCAGAUCAGCGCUCUGGGGCCAUCCGAUGCAACAACUCCACGACUGUAGACCAUCUUCAACGCAACGGGGUGCCAGCUCCUCUGCAGCACGGCGCGGCGCGACCAUAGCUCCAACGCAGCGUCGAUGACAUCCGGUGAAGCUCCAUUGCAGCCCCGGCGAAGCUCGAACACAGCACCAACGUCCGGCGAAGCUCCAUUGCAGUGCCGGCUAUACUUCCGGCGGCCCGGCAUUGCUCCAUUGCAACACCCGCGGCGCUCCCAAUAGCUUCAACGCAACAUCACCGGAGUUUCAACACCUCUGUCGGCCACUCGCCGCGGUCACCGUAGCAGCACCGACGACUUCCAUUGCAACUCCGCGGUGCUCCCAAUAGCUUCAGGGAGAAUCCCUUCGGACGCGAACCUCCCCGCAACACGGGCCACGGCCCGUAGCGCCGACGACGCUGCAUUGGUAUGCUCUACAGCACCGGGCGCUCACCGACAACACCGUCGCGCUUCUCAACACCGGCAGUAGCAAGGCCGCGUCGGGAACUGCAGGUCGACGCGGGGUGCUGCAGCCUGCAGGUCGCAGCCGGGUGCUUGAUGUCGCUUGAAGCUACGUCGGUAUUUCCCCAAAGAGGAAGGGAUGAUGCAGCACAGCGGCGGUAGGUAUUUCCCUCAGAUAUGAAACCAAACUUAUCGAACCAGUAGGAGAACCAAGCAACACAACGUAAACAACCCCUGCACACAGAUAACAAAUCCUCGCAACCCGACGUGUUAAAGGGGUUGUCAAUCCCUUUCGGGGUACGGCGCCUCAAGAUAGGCAAAACGGACGUGAGGAAAAUUUAGUAGAUUGAUAGAUCGAACUCCAAACAAAAUAAAUAAGAAUAAAUUGCAGCAAGGUAUUUUUGUAUUUUUUGGUUUAAUAUAUCUGAAAAUAAACGCAAGGAAAAAGUAGAUCACAAAGGCAAAUACAUGAGAAAGAAGACCUGGGGGCCGUAGGUUUCACUAGUGGCUUCUCUCGAGAAAAAUAGCAAACGGUGGGUAAACAAAUUACUGUUGGGCAAUUGAUAGAACUUCAAAUAAUUAUGACGAUAUCCAGGCAAUGAUCAUUACAUAGGCAUCACGUCCAAGAUUAGUAGACCGACUCCUACCUGCAUCUACUACUAUUACUCCACACAUCGACCGCUAUCCAGCAUGCAUCUAGUGUAUUAAGUUCAUGAAAAAACGGAGUAAUGCAAUAAGAACGAUGACAUGAUGUAGACAAGAUCUGUUUAUCUAUUGCGUAGAUAUAGAUCCCAUCUUUUUAUCCUUAGUAGCAACGAUACAUACGUGUCGUUUCCCUUUCUGUCACUAGGAUCGAGCACCGUAAUAUCGAACCCACUACCGGGCACCUCUUCUAGUUGCAAGAUAAAUAGAUCAAGUUGGCCAAACAAAACCCAAAUAUCGGAGAAGAAAUACGGGGCUAUAAGAGAUCAUGCAUAUAAGAGAUCAAAGAAACUCAAAUAACUUUCAUGGAUAUAAAAAGAUAUAACUGAUCAUAAACUCGAAGUUCAUCGGAUCCCAACAAACACACCGCAAAAAGAGUUACAUCAUAUGGAUCUCCAAGAGACCAUUGUAUUGAGAAUUCAGCGAGAGAGAGGAAGCCAUCUAGCUACUAACUACGGACCCGAAGGUCUACAAAGAACUACUCACGCAUCAUCGGAGAGGCACCAAUGGAAGUGGUGAACCCCUCUGUGAUGGUAUCUAGAUUGGAUCUGGUGGUUCUGGACUCUGCGACGGCUGGAUGAAUAUUUCAUCGACUCCCCUAGGGUUUUUGGAAUAUUGGGGUAUUUAUAGAGCAAAGAGGCGGUCCGGGGGGCACCCGAGGUGGGCACAACCCGCCAGGGCGCGCCUGGGCCUCCUGGCGCGCCCUGGUGGGUUGUCCCCUCCUCAGGACUCCCCCCAGGUGCAACCAGGUCCCAACAUCUUCCUUCUGGUCCAAAAAAAAAUCUCUGUAAAGUUUCGUGGCAUUUGGACUCCGUUUGAUAUUGAUUUCCUGCGAUGUAAAAAACAUGGAAAAAACAACAACUGGCACUUGGCACUAUGUCAAUAGGUUAGUACCAAAAAAUGAUAUAAAAUGACUAUAAAACAUCCAAGAUUGAUAAUAAAACAUCAUGGAACAAUAAAAAAUUAUAGAUACGUUGGAGACGUAUCAGCAUACCCAAGCUUAACUCCUGCUCGUCCUCGAGUAGGUAAGUGAUAAAAACAGAAUUUUUGAUGUGGAGUGUUGUUUAUCAUGUCAUAUCAUAUUCUUUUCUUUAUAGCAUGGACAUUUGAACUUUUAUGUGAUUCAAAGCAAUAGUCUAGUUUUGUCACAAUAAUUUAGAUACUCAAGCAUAUCAACAAGCAACCAUGUCCUUCAAAAUAUCAAUGCUAAAACAAGUUAUCCCUAGCCCAUCAUGCUCAAACAUUGAUCCAUUCAUGAAACACACUCGCAUAUUAGCUAUACCCAAUACUUAAGCAUGAUCAUAUUGCCACUUAGUUGGUGCUUUUAUAAGAGAAGAUGGAGACUCAAAUUCAAAAUAAAAAUUGCAUAAAGUAAAAAAAGGCCCUUCGCAGAGGGAAGUAGGGAUUUGUAGAGGUGCCAGAGCUCAAAGCGAAAAAUAGAGAUACAAACAUUUUGGGAGGUGUAUCCAUCCCACCAACGAAAACGACUCAGAGUUCUGAACACUUUCCAUGCUAGAUAUGCCAUAGGCGGUUCCCAAACAGAAAAUAAAGUUUAUUCCUUUUUCCAGCAUUCUUUCACUUUCAAUGGCUAGCCGUAUCCACGGUUGCCUUCCAUACCAACACUUUCCAAGGAAUUUAUUAUUUGACAACAUAAAGUAAAUUCAUUUUUUCAUUUCAGGACUGGGCAUCCCUAAAAUCUUUGCCUUACCCUCGUGCAAUGACAAGUGAAUAAACACUCAUCGUGAGAAUAACACAUCCAGCAUGGAAAAUAUUAGCCACCCGUUACCGUUCCGCGAGCGAAACAAACACACAAAAGAGAAGUUUAUUUUGAAAAUUAGAGAUGGCACAUGCAAAUUUGCUUAGAACGUCAAAAGAAUACCGCAUAUAGGUAGAUAUAGUGGACUCAUGUGGCAAAACUGGUUUAAAGGAUUUUGGAUGCACAAGUAGAGGUCAUACUUAGUGCAAAAUGAAGGCUACCAAAAAGAUUGAGAAGCGACCAACCAAGAAACGAAUAAUCUCAUAAGCAAGCAUUAAGCAUAAUUAACACCGAAUAAUUCACCAUAAGUAGGAUAUAAUUUUAUUGCAUGAUUAUUGACUUUCAUGCAUGCAUAGGGAAUCACAAACCUUAACACCAAUAUUCUUACUAGAGCACAAUUACUCAUCAACAUAGCUCACAUAUCACAUCAUCAUAUCUCAAAACUAUUACUAAGAAUCAAGUUUAUUUUGUCCAAUGAUCUUCAUGACAUUUUUUCUUUACUUUAUCCUUCUUGGAUAUCUAUCACUUUGGGACUAAUUUUCAUGUGUUGCCUUUCAUAAGCUCAAACAAAUAUAUGUGAAGAUCAUGAGCAUAACAAAUUUUCGUUCUCUCAAAAUAAUUUAAGUGAAGCAAGAGAGAAUUUCUUCAAAAUUUUACUAACUCUCAAAUAAAUCUAAGUGAAGCAAGAGAGCAUUUCUUCAACAAUACUAAGCACACCGUGCUCAAAAAGAUAUAAGUGAAGCACUAGAGCAAUCCUACCUCAUAAAAGAUUUAAGUGAAGCACAGAGAGCAAUUCUAACAAGUCAUGAUAUAAUUUUGGCUCUCUCAAAUAGGUGUGUCCAGCAAGGAUUGAUGACUUAAAACACAAAAUAAAACAAGCAAAGACACAUAUCAUACAAGACGCUCCAAGCAAAACACAUAUCAUGUGACGAAUAAAAAUAUAGUCUCGAGUAAAAUACCGAUGGUCGUUAGAAGAAAGAGGGGAUGCCACUCGGGGGCAUCCCCAAACUUAGUUGGUUGCUCAUUCUUGGAUAAUAGCUUGGGAUGCCGGGGCAUCCCCAAGCUUAGGCUCUUCUAUCCUUCUUUCAUCCAUCGUAAGAUAACCCAAAACUUGAAAACUUCAAUCACACAAAACUCAACAAAACCUUGUGAGAUCCGUUAGUAAAAGAAAGCAAACCACUACUAAAGUGUUGUAUCAAACCAAUUCAUAUUUUGUUUUUGUAUUAUAUCUACUGUAUUUCAACUUUUCUAUGGCAAAAAAUCAUCAAAGAAAACCAUAGAGUCAUCAAAAUAAGCACACAACACAAAGAAAAGCGAAUCUGUCAAAACAGAACAGUCUGUAGUAAUCUGGAACUUUCGAAUACUUCUGUAACACCAAAUUUUAAAAAAAAUUAGGACGACCAGACCUCUAAGUAGUGCCUCAUCAGGUAGAUGAACAACCAAAUGCACCAUCACAUCAAAGAAGGCUGGAGGAUAUAUCUUCUCAAGGUCGCAUAGGAUAGUUGGUAUCUUGUCUCUAAGACGCUCCAAAGCAUCUAUCCUGAUAUUUCUACUACAGAGUUCCCUGAAGAAUUGUCCCAACUCUGCAACUGCUCUGUAUAAGUCAGGGCGGCCCAAUCCUCUAAGGAUAACAGGUAAAACCCUUUGAAGUAGGACGUGGCAGUCAUGAGUUUUCAACCCUUGUACCUUGUCUCCAUCUGCACUGACUCUCCUUUCAGGGUUGGAAGCAAAUCCAUGUGGGAAUCUCACACGUGACAGGACCUUGCAGAAUUCUUUUCUUUUUACCUUGUCCAAGACGUACACAGCUGGUGCCAUAUCCCGUGGUUUACCUUCAUCUUGCACCUGCAAAUCCUAUCUGAUACCCAGGUGUGUCAAAUCAAUCCUAGAUUUUAAGGUAUCUUUUGUCUUGCCUUCAAUAUUAAGAAGUGUGCCGAUAAUGCUGUCACAUAUAUUUUUCUCGAUGUGCAUCACAUCAAGAUUAUGCCGCAGAUCCAAAUCUUUCCAAUACUCCAAGUCCCACAAAGUGGACCUGCGGGUAAAUGAUACGCCUCCAUCGUAUCUAUAAUUUUUGAUUGUUCCAUGCCAAUAUUCUACAACUUCCAUAUAUUUUUGGCAACUUUUUAUACUAUUUUUGGGACUAACAUAUUGAUCCAGUGCCCAGUGCCAGUUCCUGUUUGUUGCAUGUUUUAUGUUUCGCAGAAACCCCAUAUCAAACGUAGUCCAAACGGGAUAAAAACGGACGGAGAAUUAUUUUGGAAUAUUUAUGAUUUUUGGGAAGUAAAAUCAACGCGAGACAGUGCCCGAGGGGGGCACGAGGCAGGGGGGCGCGCCCCAGGGGGCAGGCGCGCCCUGUACCCUCGUGGGCACCCCGUAAGGCGGUUGACGCUCUUCUUUUGCCGCAAGAAAGCUAAUUUUAUGAGAAAAUCUGGGCGAGAGAUUCAACCCAAUCGGAGUUACGGAUCUCCAGAUAUAAAGGAAACGGUGAAAGGGCAGCAAACGAGAACGCAGAAACAGAGAGACACAGAGAGACAGAUCCAAUCUCGGAGGGCCUCUCGCCCCUCCCAUGCCAUGGAGGCCAAGGACCAGAGGGGAAACCCUUCUCCCGUCUAGGGAGGAGGUCAAGGAAGAAGAAGACAAAGGGGCCCCCUCUCCCCUUCUCUUUUGGUGGCGCCGGAACGCUGCCGUGGCCAUCAUCAUCACCGCAAUCUUCACCAACAACUUCACCGCCAUCAUCACGAACUCUUCCCCCCUCUAUGCAGCGGUGUAACCUCUCUCUUACCCGUUGUAAUCUCUACUUAAACAUGGUGCUCAACGCUAUAUAUUAUUUCCCAAUGAUGUAUGGCUAUCCUAUGAUGUUUGAGUAGAUCUGUUUUGUCCUAUGGGCUAUUUGAUGAUCAAGAUUGGUUUGAGUUGCAUGUUUUAUUAUUGGUGUUGUCCUAUGGUGCUCUCCAUGUCGCGCAAGCGUGUGGGAUCCCCGCUGUAGGGUGUUGCAAUAUGUUCAUGAUUCGCUUAUAGUGGGUUGCGUGAGUGGCUGAAACACAAACCCGAGUAAGGGGGUUGUUGCGUAUGGGAUAAAGAGGACUUGAUGCUUUAAUGCUAUGGUUGGGUUUUACCUUAAUGAUCUUUAGUAGUUGCGGAUGCUUGCUAGAGUUCCAAUCAUAAGUGCAUAUGAUCCAAGUAGAGAAAGUAUGUUAGCUUAUUCCUCUCCCUCAAAUAAAAUUGCAAUAAUGAUUACCGGUCUAGUUGUCGAUUGCCUAGGGACAAAUAACUUUCUCGUAACAAAAAGCUCUCUACUAAAACUAAUUUAGUUGUGUCUUUAUCUAAACAGCCCCUAGCUUUUAUUUACGUGCACUUUAUAUUCUUGCAAACCUAUCCAAAAACACCUACAAAGUACUUCUAGUUUCAUACUUGUUUUAGGUAAAGCGAACGUCAAGCGUGUGUAGAGUUGUAUCGGUGGUCGACAGAACUUGAGGGAAUAUUUGUUCUACCUUUAGCUGCUCAUUGGGUUCGACACUCUUACUUAUCGAAAGAGGCUACAAUUGAUCCCCUAUACUUGUGGGUUAUCAAGACCUUUUUCUGGCGCCGUUGCCGGGGAGCAAUAGCGUGGGGUGAAUAUUCUCGUGUGUGCUUGUUUGCUUUAUCACUAAGUAAUUUUUAUUUGCUGUUCUUAGUUGUUCUCUAUCUUUAGUUAUGGAUAUGGAACACGAAAUACCAAAAAAAUUAGGUGUACUUGCUGCUCAUGGAGAUGGGGAACCUCCUAAAACCCUCGAUGCUCGUUAUGUGACAGAUAUUAUGUACUACUUUGAUAAUCCAGAGAAAACCCCAUUCAAUUUGGUAAUGGGAGUAACGUUGGAUCAACGUGAAUACUUUAGGGAUUAUCGCUUCACACAAAAAGGGAAACUAUUAUGGGAUCAAAUUUAUAUGUUGAAGUGGUAUGCUAGGCAACUAUGCUUGAGAUAUGAUUAUACUUGUUGCUCUAGGAUGAAGGCUCCACACCUUCCCUUUUCAUGCAAAUUUAAUGAUAUAAAACCUUAGCUUCUUAUGCUAAUGGUAUCUAUGAUUACUAUGAUGUGGAACAAAUAGAAGAAUUUGUUGCUUUUAUCGGUGCUUAUGAAAUUGAAUCUAUGUUUAAAGAGUUUGAAGAUUUUGAUGAUUCGGUUUAUAGACCUGAAAAUUUAGCUAUCCUAAAUAUUGUUAUGAGAAUUAUGAAUACAAUUACGAUAUUAAUGCACUUAUUGAGAAAGUAUCCGCUGUCCAAGAAGAGACUAAUAUUUUGCAGGAGUCUAUGGAAGAAGAAAUUACUGAAACUGUGAGCUCAUUGGAUGAAAGAGAUGAUGAGGAGAGCGAAGAACAAAAGGAGGAAGAGCGGAUUAGCUACCCGUGCCCACCUUGUAAUGAGAGUAACUCUUCAACUCAUACAUUGUUUAAUGUCCCUUCGUGCUUAUCGAAGGAUGAUUGCUAUGAUGACUACUAUGAUCCCGUUGAUUCUUUUGAAAUAUCCCUUUUUGAUGAUUCUUGCUAUGCUUGUGGCCAAGAUGCCAAUAUGAAUUAUGCUUAUGGAGAUGAACUUGCUAUAGUUCCUUAUAUUAUGAAUGAAAUUUUUGCUAUUGCACCCACGCAUGAUAGUCCUAUUAUCUUUUGGAAUUCUCCCGAUUAUACUAUAUCGGAGAAGUUUGCACUUAUUAAGGAUUAUAUUGAUGGGUUGCGUCUUACUUCUACACAUGAUGAUUUUGAUAGAUAUAAUAUGCAUGUGCUUGCUGCUCCUACUUGCAAUUAUUAUGAGAGAGGAACUAUAUCUCCACCUCUCUAUGUUUCCAACAUGAUAAAAUUGCAAGAAACUGUUUAUACUAUGCAUUGGCCUUUACUAUGUGUGCAUGAAUUGUUCUUUCAUGCGGAUGCAUAGGAAAAGAGUUAGACUUCGUUGUUACAUGAUAUAUGUUGCUUUGUGCUCACUACUAAAUUACAAAUCAUUGCUAAUUAAAAUUGGCUUUGAUAUACCUUGGGAUCUGGGUGGAUUCACUACUUGAGCACUAUAUGCCUAGCUUAAUGGCUUUAAAGAAAGCGCUGCCAGGGAGACAACCCGGAAGUUUUAGAGAGUCAUUUAUUUCUGUUUAGUGCUUUUAUAUAGUUUAAAAACAACAAAAAUAAAUAGGGGAACCCAAAACUUUUUCAAAAAGAAAAGCGAAAGUGAGAAAGACAAGCAUUGUUGAAGUGGGAGCUAGCCUUGAACUUUGUUCAUGCUCACGGAAACUUUGUGAAUCUUGAUUACAAAAACUUUUCAACAAAAAUAAUUAUCCCCUUGUACAAUUCCAUUGUAUUAUAAAAAUAAUGUGCCAAGGUUUGCCUUUAGGAUGUUUACAAUGCUUGUUGGUUUGUACGGUGCAGGACAGAAACUUUGGCUGUAGUGCGCGAUUUGACAUUUUUCACUGGAACGUCAAAUGGUUCUGAUUCUUUUUGCACUAUCUUUCUAUACAAUUUUUUUAUUUUUUUACUAAUUUUGGCAGAAUUUUUCAAUUAUCAGAAGUAUGGUGAAUGUUCAGAUUAUUACAGACUGUUCUGUUUUAGACAGAUUCUGUUUUUGAUGCAUAGUUAGCUUGUUUUGAUGAAACUAUCGUUUUAUAUCAGUGGAUUAAGCCAUGAAAAAGCUAUAUUACAGAAGACACAAUGCAAAAACAAAAUAUGAAUUGGUUUGCAACAGUACUUAGAGUAGUGAUUUGCUUUAUUAUACUAACGGAUCUUACCGAGUUUUCUGUUGAAGUUUUGUGUGGAUGAAGUGUUCGAUGAUCGAGAAGGUCUCGAUGUGAGAAGAAGGAAGAGAGGAAAGAGCUCAAGCUUGGGGAUGCCCAAGGCACCCCAAGUAAAUAUUCAAGGAGACUCAAGCGUCUAAGCUUGGGGAUGCCCCGGAAGGCAUCCCCUCUUUCUUCAACAAGUAUCGGUAUGUUUUCGGAUUCGUUUCGUUCAUGCGAUAUGUGCAAUCUUGGAGCGUCUUUUGCAUUUAGUUUUCAUUUUUCUUUUAUGCACCAUGCUGGUAUGAGAUAGUCCUUGGUUGAUUUAUAGAAUGCUCUUUGCACUUCACAUAAAUCUUUUGAGUAUGGCUUUAUAGAAUGCUUCAUGUGCUUCACUUAUAUCAUUUGAAGUUUGGAUUGCCUGUUUCUCUUCACUUAGACAACCGCCAUUUGUAGAAUGCUCUUUUGCUUCACUUAUAUUUAUUAGAGCAUGGGCAUAUCUUUUGUAGAAAAAAUUAAACUCUCUUGCUUCACUUAUAUCUAUUUAGAGAGAUGACAGGAAUUGGUCAUUCACAUGGUUAGUCAUAAAAUCCUACGUAAACUUGUAGAUCGCUGAAUAUGAUAUGUUUGAUUCCUUGCAAUAGUUUUGCGAUAUAAAGAUGGUGAUAUUAGAGUCAUGCUAGUGGGUAGUUGUGGAUUAGUAGAAAUACUUGUGUUGAGGUUUGUGAUUCCCGUAGCAUGCACGUAUGGUGAACCAUUAUGUAACGAAGUCGGAGCAUGAUUUAUUUAUUGAUUGUCUUCCUUAUGAGUGGCGGUCGGGGACGAGCGAUGGUAUUUUCCUACCAAUCUAUCCCCCUAGGAGCAUGCGCGUAGUACUUUGUUUCGAUGACUAAUAGAUUUUUGCAAUAAGUAUGUGAGUUCUUUAUGACUAAUGUUGAGUUCAUGGAUUAUACGCACUCUCACCCUUCCAUCAUUGCUAGCAUCUUCGGUACCGCGCAUUGCCCUUUCUCACCUAGAGAAUUGGUGCAAACUUCGCCGGUGCAUCCAAACCCCGUGAUACGAUACGCUCUGUCACACAUAAGCCUCAUUAUAUCUUCCUCAAAACAGCCACCAUACCUACCUAUCAAGGCAUUUCCAUAGCCAUUCCGAGAUAUAUUGCCAUGCAACUUCCAUCAUCAUCAUAUACAUGACUUGAGCAUUCAUUGUCAUAUUGCUUUGCAUGAUCGUAAGAUAGCUAGCAUGAUAUUUUCAUGGCUUGUCCUUUUUUGAUAUCUUUGCUACGCUAGAUCAUUGCACAUCCCGGUACACCACCGGAGGCAUUCAUAUAGAGUCAUAUCUUUGUUCUAGACAUCGAGUUGUAAUAUUGAGUUGUAAGUAAAUAAAAGUGUGAUGAUCAUCAUUAUUAGAACAUUGUCCCAUGUGAGGUUAUCAAAAUAAAAGAGGCCAAAGAAGCCCAAAUAAAAAAAGAGGCCAAAGAAGCCCACUAAAAAAAGAAAAAAAAGAGAAAACAAAAAAAUGAGAGAAAAAGAGAGAAGGGGCAAUGUUACUAUCCUUUUACCACACUUGUGCUUCAAAGUAGCACCAUGUUCUUCAUAUAGAGAGUCUCUUGAGUUAUCACUUUCAUAUACUAGUGGGAAUUUUCAUUAUAGAACUUGGCUUGUAUAUUCCGAUGAUGGGCUUCCUCUAAUGCCCGAGGUCUUCAUGAGAAAGCAAGUUGGAUGCACACCCACUUAGUUUCAGUUUGAGCUUUCAUACACUUAUAGCUCUAGUGCAUCCAUUGCAUGGCAAUCCCUACUCCUCGCAUUGGCAUCAAUUGAUGGGCAUCUCCAUAGCCCAUUGAUUAGCCGCGUCGAUGUAAGACUUUCUCCCUUUUUGUCUUCUCCACAUAACCCCCACAAUCAUAUUCUAUUCCACCUAUAGUGCUAUGUCCAUGGCUCACGCUCAUGUAUUGCGUGAAAGUUGAAAAGGUUUGAGAACGUCAAAAGUAUGAAACAAUUGCUUGGCUUGUCAUCGGGGUUGUGCACGAUGUGAAUAUUUUGUGUGGUGAAGAUGGAGCAUAGCCAGACUAUAUGAUUUUGUAGGGAUAACUUUCUUUGGCCAUGUUAUUUUGAAAAGACAUGAUUGCUUUAUUAGUAGGCUUGAAGUAUUAUUGAUUUUAUGUCAAAUGGUAGACUAUUGCUUUGAAUCACUCGUAUCUUAAUAUUCAUACCAUGAUUAGAUACAUGAUCAAGAUUAUGCUAGGUAGCAUUCCACAUUAAAAAUUAUCUUUUUUGUCAUUUACCUACUCGAGGGCGAGCAGGAAUUAAGCUUGGGGAUGCUGAUACGUAUCCAUCGUAUCUAUAAUUUUUGAUUGUUCCAUGCCAAUAUCCUACAACUUCCAUAUAU